UAUAGCAGCCAUGUCACCCUGCAACUCACAACUGGCAACCCACUGAAGCUAAGCAGGUGUGAGCCUGGUCAGUACCUGGAUAGGAGACCUCCUGGGAAAAACUAAGGUUGCUGCUGGAA
rfam:Lepisosteus oculatus linkage group LG6, whole genome shotgun sequence.